rnacentral:rRNA from 1 species
UACAGAGGGUGCGAGCGUUGUUCGGAAUUAUUGGGCGUAAAGGGCGCGUAGGCGGUGCGGUAAGUCACCUGUGAAAUCUCCUGGCUCAACUGGGAGCUUGCAGGCGAAACUGCCGUGCUGGAGUGUGGGAGAGGUGAGUGGAAUUCCCGGUGUAGCGGUGAAAUGCGUAGAGAUCGGAAAGAACACCAACGGCGAAAGCACUCUGCUGGGCCGACACUGACACUGAGAGACGAAAGCUAGGGGAGCGAAUGGG